AACACGGCCCGGGUCCGGGGGCCCCCGUGAUCGGGCCAGAAAUUGUUGCAGUGAAAAUAGUCAGCCUUUAUUCUUCGGAUUGAUCAGUAUUCUUUCCGAGAUCCGAGAAUUUGUGUGCGAUUCAAACUCUUUUUUUUUCUGUAGUUUUGAGACUUAGCUCCUAACACCACCACCACCACCACUACCAACAACAACCGCCAUGGCUGAUGAUGAAGCUAAGAAGGCCAAACAGGCCGAAAUCGAGCGCAAGCGCGCUGAGGUGCGCAAGCGUAUGGAGGAGGCCUCCAAGGCCAAGAAGGCCAAGAAGGGUUUCAUGACUCCAGAAAGAAAGAAGAAGCUGCGGUUGUUGUUGCGUAAGAAAGCCGCUGAGGAACUGAAGAAGGAGCAGGAGCGCAAAGCGGCCGAACGUAGGCGCAUCAUCGAGGAACGGUGCGGCAAGCCGAAGAACGUCGAGGAUGCCAACGAAGACAUGUUGAAAGACAUUGUUAAAGAAUAUUUCAACCGUAUGUAUACUUGUGAAGGCCAGAAAUGGGAUUUGGAAUUCGAAGUCCGGAAAAGAGAUUGGGAGAUUUCCGACCUCAACGCCCAGGUCAACGACCUUCGCGGUAAAUUCGUCAAGCCUACGCUGAAGAAGGUCUCCAAGUACGAGAACAAAUUCGCCAAGCUGCAGAAGAAGGCCGCCGAGUUCAACUUCCGCAACCAGCUCAAGGUUGUCAAAAAGAAGGAGUUCACCCUGGAAGAGGAAGACAAGGAGAAGAAGCCCGACUGGUCCAAGAAGGGCGACAGCAAGGAGGAAGCGGCGCCCGCGAACUGAACCCCGAGGCGAGGCAGUGACGGCGGAAACCCUACAAAUGUUCACCAACAGCCAUCUUUCGAGGUUUCCCCCGAGACCAAGUAAACGCCCCGAAACGUCACGAAGGAGGAAGAGGAAUCCAGCGAACCCCGCCGAACCGGACUUGUUUACGAUGACGACUUACAACAGCAGCAGCAGCGCCGCGAGCGGCCGAAACAGGAAAUAUUUUUUGUACCACUUUGAAAAGGAACUACUUUUAAGCGUGUAGCCGGGCUAAAUUUAGUUUUAAACAAAAUAGUUUGCUAGCACUUCGAAAUGCACGAACACACACAGUUGACAGUUUGUUUUGUUUUUUCUUUCCGUGGAGAUGUACACAUACACUUGAUUUUAAAUAAAUAAAAACGAUGAACGCUCACUAAUACAGGUUAGGGUAUGCAAA